UACGAAGGGGGCUAGCGUUGCUCGGAAUCACUGGGCGUAAAGCGCACGUAGGCGGGUUCUUAAGUCAGGGGUGAAAUCCUGGAGCUCAACUCCAGAACUGCCUUUGAUACUGGGAAUCUCGAGUCCGGGAGAGGUGAGUGGAACUGCGAGUGUAGAGGCGAAAUUCGUAGAUAUUCGCAAGAACACCAGUGGCGAAGGCGGCUCACUGGCCCGAUACUGACGCUGAGGUGCGAAAGCGUGGGGAGCAAACAGG
rnacentral:rRNA from 1 species